UUCCACAUUGUGACAAUUUCCCACCAAACCUUAAGAAGUUAACAUUGUGCAGAACACACAUACAAUGGGAAGACAUGAACAUUCUUAGAAAAUUACCUAAUCUUGAGGUGCUCAAACUUAAACAUCAUGCCUUUCUCGGACUAAUUUGGAAACUAAGCGAUGAAGAUGAAGAUGGAUUCUUGAAGCUAAAGUUUUUACUUCUUGAGAACAUGAAUCUGAUGCAAUGGGAAGCAACAAGUUAUCAUUUCCCAAACCUUGAGCACUUGGUUCUAACAGAUUGCUAUUUGUUGGAGCAAAUGCCUUUUGACUUUGCAGAGAUUCAGACACUACAGCUGAUUGAACUACACAAAUGUAAGUGUUCUGUUCUUGUUUCAGCAGAGCAAAUACAAGAGGAGCAACAAAGCUUGGGAAAUGAUGACCUCGUUAUUCAUGUGAACUAUAUACGUGAGUAAACAUUAAUCAAAAAAGGUAUACAUUUCUUAAAAGCAUAAAGAUUUUACUUGCUUCUUUUGUUUACAAUAAUGUUUUAUCAUUUUGAAUAUGUUGACUUUUAGUCAAUUUUAUUUUUUCUUUAGUUCAAAACAAUAUAAUAAAAGAGUUUAUGAUGAUUCCUUGAUUGCAUACCAUUUUUAUGUUCGAGCAUGGACAAAUGUAUCUCAAGAAUUUGACACUAGAGAAAUUUUUCUUGGUAUUCUUCGCUCCAUUGGCGUGGUCAACGAUGAAGUAGAAAGAAACAGUACUAAUGAGCAAUUGGCUGAAAGAGUUUAUCGAAGUUUAAAAGGGAGGAAGUAUCUCAUUAUCCUAGAUGAUAUGUGGUCCAUCGAGGCUUGGAAGCAUGUGAGGAGACUAUUUCCGGAUGAUCAUAAUGGAAGUCGAAUCGUGUUAACCACGAGGCUUGUAGAUGUUGCAUCUUGUGCUUGCUCUGGCAAUUCCCUUCACCAGAUGCGCUUUCUGAGUGUGGCGGAAAGCUGGACUGUAACAUCCGGCAAUUUGAAAUAACUAUGAAGAAGCUUGGAAUUGGAAAUAGUCAUUUUUGGAAAGACUUUUAAAAAAAUCUGGAAAAUUUGGUUGUUAAGUAUGGGUAAAAGGUGAGUUUUUGGCCAACUUUGAACAGUCAUAACGUCUAGCUCAAGAUGAGUUAGGUGUAGUUCCAGUUAUGUUUACAAAGCUCGUGGAAUGAUCUUUCCAACGCCAUCGAGUUUUCUCGAUUCUGAGUUCGUAUGAGUGAGUUAUGCCCUUUGGAAAUUGGGCAGUUGGCAGGGAAGUCCGUCCGGAAAUUUUAAGGGUAUUUUGGUCUUUUCCCUAACCAAUUCUUUUGGAUAUAUUAAGGUGUUAGACUGAUUUUAGAUCAGUUUUUCCCUUUUUGAAAGAGUGAGAGUGAGGGUUUGUGAGUAAAGAGGAAAAGAAGGGGAGAAAGAGAAGAUCAAGCAAGGUUUCGUCAAAGAUCGUCGUGGAUAUUGUCGGGGGUGAUCCCUACUAGGUAUGUGAGAUCAUAGUGUUUGGUUGGUUCAUUCCCCCACACGCCAAAUUCGUUUUAAUAUCCGAGAAAAGAUUUGGUUGUGUUUAUUGAAGUCUUGUGGUUGUGGUUGGUGAGGUUGUGGUUGUGUUAUUGAAGUUCUUGUGGAUUUGAGACAUGUUUUAGGUUGUGUUUUCGAGUUGAAUCUAUUGUGUAUUAAGGGGUUUUAAUGAUCCCAAGUGUUUGGGGAAGGAACCUUUGAAGUUAAGAGGGUUUAGAGUUGGUAACAUGAAGGAGAAAAGUCGGGCAGCUUGCAUGAAACAAGUCUGCGUCGCAGACUUGUUCCCUCUGUGAACAAAUCUGCUCCGCGUCGCGGACAGGACGCGGACUUCACUGUUUCAAAAAUUUAAUUUCGUAAUUUUUCUUAAGUUUAGCUGUCCUAAAUCAUUCCUAAACAUCAUGAGGUCUUUCCAAACACAAAUCAUGAAUCCUUGAAUCCAUAAUUCAAUUCAAGAAAGUUAGGAUCAAAGUCAAGUGAAGUUAAGAGUCAAGUCUAAAAGUUAAGAAGCAAGUCUUUAAAGCUUUUCAAGAGUCUUUAUUAAACGUUUUAACUUCGUUUUAAGGCUCAAGUUUCAAGUUAAGUAAAGUGUAUAGAGUUUCAAGUUAAGUAAAGAGUAUAGAGUGUCAAGUCAAGUAAAGAGUAAGAACAAUGUAGCCAAACAUGGGACUUAACGGGUUAUUCUUUUUAGAUGAUCACGUAAGAUUAAGCUAGUGGAUUCACUAAGUAAAGUAAGGUCCUAUAUCACGGAAAAGUAUAGGAUGGUCCUUGGGCAACGUGAGGUAAAACGUUGUAUCAUCACUAGGGCUCAUAGUGGUGGUUGUCGGUUAAAGAAUCUCCCACAAAAGUUAUAUUAACUUUUAUAUAAGUAAAGUUGAGUUGUUAUUGCUUUAUCCUUAACGAACUAAGUUGUUUACACUGUUUUGCAAGCUUUAUAUAUAUUGCGUGUGUCUUAUUGCUUUAUAUUGAGUUCGGUUAUUCAUGAGUUGAAUAGAGCCAAGGUAAGUGUUCUCUUGUACUCCUUUCAAGCUUAAGUUGUUGUUUAGCUUUCCAGCUCGCAUACUCGUACAUUAAAUGUACUGAUGCCAGUUGACAUGUAUCUUAUUAUGAUGCAGACACAGGUACCCAGGAUCAGCAUUCGGCACACCGUUGAUCCAGCCGAGCACUUCCGAGUCAGUGGUGAGCCUCUUUGCAUUCCGGAGUACUCAGUUAUUUUGUUCUCUUAGUUUGUUUUAUUAGGAUGUUCCGGGGUCUGUCCCAACAUCCAUCUCAGUGUUAUAGAGGCUUCAUAGACAGUCAGUCAGUUAGUAUUGAGUCUCUCAUCUAUGUAUAUAUGUAAAUAUUCUAUUUUGAGACUCGAGUUGCCUUUUUGGGCCAGAUUUUAUCAGUUAAGUUGUUUUAUGUCCUUGCAUUGCAUGGAGUUAUUCUGUUGAGUUAGGUUUCCGCUGAGUUAAGAAAGUCAGGCCAAAGGUUCGCUUGGGGCCAACAAUGGUCUUCGAGUGCCAGCCAUGUCCAGGGUAUAGGCUCGGGGCAUGGCAAUCUUUUACGCGAUAAGGUCUUUGGGAACGGUAGGUACCCUCCGGAAUUGGAGAAAAUUGGGAGGUACAUUGGCCACCAGUGUCAAGGGUUGCCACUUGCAAUUGUUGCAAUUGGUGGACUACUUUCCAAGAUGAGCAAGGAAACAAGUUCUUGGGAGAACGUUGCAGAAAAGGUAGGAUCACUUAUGACCAGUGACACUAUGGAUUGCUUGAACAUACUUUCUUUGAGCUACAACCACUUGCCUCAGUACUUGAAAACAAACAUGCUUCCUUUAUAUGGGAGUUUUUGCAGAAACUCAUGAGAUUCCGGUCUGGAAGUUAAUAAAGUUAUGGAUUGCUGAGGGAUUCGUCAAGAAAGUUUAUCAUAAAAAUCUUGAAGAUGUGGCAGAGGAAAAUUUGAGGGAGUUAGUUGAUAGAAGUUUGGUUUUGGUGGGGAAGCAUAGCUCCCUAGGUUUUAUCAAGACUUGUAAAAUGCAUGAUCUCGUUCGAGAUAUGUGUUUGAGAGAAGCCCAAUAUGAGAAUUUUAUUCACUUCAAAACAAGGUAUGACAACGAUGAUCUUCUAGAAAACUUUAAUUGUCUACGUCGUGUAGUUGAUUUCAAUAAAUAUGGAUACAGUGAAAUUCCUAAACUUAUGCCACUCACACGUUCUGUUUUCUUCAAAUAUCCACACUUUUUUUGUUUCCUCUCACAGUCAAGCUUUAGAUUACUUAGGAUAUUAGAUGUUUGCUUUACAUCUUUUUUGUACUGUAGUCAAUCCAUAUCAGAACUUGUUCAUUUGAAGUAUCUUGCUUGUCCGUCCUUUGAUGGUCUUGUGCAAUCAGUAUGUAAGCUACGGAAUAUACAGAACUUAGUUAUUCAUGAUUUAAAUUUAUCUGGUUUACAUAUGAGAACCCAGUCCCUACCAUGGGAAGUUGUGAAUAUGCCUCAACUAAGACAUAUCCAUACAAAAAAGUUCAGUCUUUUCAUACCCCCACCUACAUCACUAAUUGCUGAGAGGGAGAAUCACUUGCAAACGUUAACCGGAUUGGAGCCCUCAUCUUGUAACGAUGAGGUGUUUCUAAGAAUUCCAAAUUUGAAGAAGUUGGGAAUAUUAAUUGUUGAUUCAGACACUAUUAGGAAGUGUUAUUGUCUUGAUAAUCUUGUACAUUUAACUCAGCUUGAGAAGCUCAAAGUUGAGUUCAGCGAGAGUUAUCUGCUAAUUUUUAGGCGGAUUAGCGAAGGUUGGGUGGACCUUUCUUGGCUACACAUUCCACAUUGUGACAAUUUCCCACCAAACCUUAAGAAGUUAACAUUGUGCGGAACUUACCUACAAUGGGAAGACAUGAACAUUCUCAAAAAAUUACCUAAUCUUGAGGUGCUCAAACUUAAACAUCAUGCCUUUCACGGACUAAUUUGGAAACUAAGCGAUGAAGAUGAAGAUGGAUUCUUUCAGUUAAAGUUUUUACUUCUUGAGAGCUUGCAUCUGAAGCAAUGGGAAGCAACAAGUUAUCAUUUUCCAAGCCUUGAGCACUUAGUCCUAACAGAUUGCUAUUCAUUGGAGCAAAUUCCUUUCGACUUUGCAGAGAUUCAAACACUACAGCUGAUUGAACUACACAAAUGCAUGCUUUCUGUUCUUGAUUUAGCAGAGCAAAUACAAGAGGAGCAACAAAGUUUGGGAAAUGAUGACCUUGUUAUUCGUGUGAACUAUAUACGUGAGUAACAUUAAUAAAAAAGGUAUACAUUUUUUAAAAGCAUAAAGAUUUUUUUUCCUGAAUUUUUCUUACAUAGCUCUUAUCUUGGAUAACUUUUUCU
rnacentral:lncRNA from 1 species